UACGGCGGGUGCAAGCGUUAUCCGGAAUUAUUGGGCGUAAAGAGCUCGUAGGCGGUUUGCCGCGUCUGCCGUGAAAGUCCGGGGCUCAACCCCGGAUCUGCGGUGGGUACGGGCAGACUUGAGUGCAGAAGGGGAGACUGGAAUUCCUGGUGUAGCGGUGAAAUGCGCAGAUAUCAGGAGGAACACCGAUGGCGAAGGCAGGUCUCUGGGCUGUAACUGACGCUGAGGAGCGAAAGCAUGGGGAGCGAACAGG
rnacentral:misc_RNA from 1 species